GCACGGAAAGAUGGCCCUGCCCUCAAGGAGCUGCAGUCUGCCCAGGAAGGCAGACAGAUAAACUGCUAUAGUUUUCCACUAUUGAGCUGAAUUUCGUAUCACCAUCAAAAGUUACCUACCUACAAGUCCCUAGUAGAGAAAAUUUAACUUCUGGCUUUAAAAAAGGGACAGAAAAGCAGGCAGAUCUGCUAGUAAGCAAACUACAGCUCCCCCGAGGAGACACACAGGCAGUGGGUAAGAGGAACAGACCCAUGGCUCCACUGAAGACACAGAGCAGCAGACGAAAAAGACAUGUCCUAAAUGUUAAAUGAAUGUGACAGAAUGAUACCAGGUGACUUCUAAGACUACAUCAUACAAAGCAACACAGCUUCUGCUGGGCUCUCCCUCUCUGGACACGUGUCUUUGAAGCCCUGAGCUGCCAGAUUAAACAGUCCGGCUUGCCUAAAGUCACCACGCUGGAGAGACCAUCAGGGAUGGAGAGGUGCUACAGAAACCCUAGCUAUUCUAGUCCCCAGCCAUUUGAGUCUUCCUAGCCCAGACUCAUAAGUGAAGAAACCUUCAAGAUGAUUCCAAUACCUCCUAUCACUUGACUGCAACCUCGUGAAAGCCUAAGCCAGACCUGCACGGUGGAGCCAUUCCUAAAUUCUGGUCCCACAGAAACUGUGAAAGAUAAUAAAUGAUCAUCAUUGCUUUA
rnacentral:lncRNA from 10 species